UAAUAAUGAUUGAAGGCAUAGUUGACAUAUGGUUAUUUUUCUAAGAGUUAAAGUAAGCACUUUUUGGAGGUUUUUAGAUGAUUUGAAAGGAUUAUUCUUAUUAAUAAUGUGAAUGAGAGAAAUAGAGUUGAGAAGCACUAGAAAUUGUCACUUGGAA